rnacentral:rRNA from 1 species
GUGUCAGCCGCCGCGGUAAUACGUAGGGGGCAAGCGUUGUCCGGAAUCAUUGGGCGUAAAGAGCGCGUAGGCGGUCCGGUAAGUCCGCUGUGAAAGUCAAGGGCUCAACCCUUGAAUGCCGGUGGAUACUGUCGGGCUAGAGUCCGGAAGAGGAGAGUGGAAUUCCCGGUGUAGCGGUGAAAUGCGCAGAUAUCGGGAAGAACACCCGUGGCGAAGGCGGCUCUCUGGGACGGUACUGACGCUGAGACGCGAAAGCUAGGGGAGCAAACAGGAUUAGAUACCCUGGUAGUCCUAGCCCUAAACGAUGAGCACUGGGUGUUGCCCCGUACGGGGUCGUGCCGAAGCUAACGCAUUAAGUGCCCCGCCUGGGGAGUACGGCCGCAAGGCUAAAACUCAAAGGAAUUGACGG